rnacentral:snRNA from 1 species
ACCUCCUGGGAAGUCCUC